AUGAGGAUUAAAAUUUAAAGAUUUUGAAACACACCGUGUUUGGGAAUGAUUUACUUCAUUGGUGGAAGACAUAUUCAGACCAGGGCUCCACACUGGUGAUAAGGACAUGGGACUCCUUUUGUCAACUUCCAGCAGGCUCAGUAAAGUUGACCUCCUGAUCAGCAGCACUAAGGGCAAAUCUUGGUUUGGUUUAUUACCUCAUUGCCACAGAAACAAAACUGUCAAAGGCUGAAGGUUCCACGUUUUCAGUAGAAUGCAGAGUAAACUUGUCUAAUGAGGAUGUCUGAUACUAGUGUUAUAAAAGAAGAAGCUGAAGCAAUGAGGGCGAAAGAAAAGUCCCUUAAACAGUCAUCAUUAUCAGAAAGUCUGGUAAAAUCAGAAAGCCAUGAGCCAAAAGCAGGAGAAAAGAAUGAAAAUUGUAUGGAUAACAGAAUUGACUCUCAGUCAAAUACAAAGUUAAAGCUAGUAAGGAGCCUGGCUGUGUGUGAAGAGUCUUCUCCUCCGCCCACAGCUGAUGUUCCACAGGAUAAUCAGGUAAAAUGCA